GCCGAGGUAGCUCAGUUGGUAGAGCACGCGACUGAAAAUCGCGGUGUCCGCAGUUCGAUCCUGCGCCUCGGCACUA
rnacentral:tRNA from 1 species